rnacentral:rRNA from 1 species
UACGUAGGGGGCAAGCGUUGUCCGGAAUCAUUGGGCGUAAAGCGCGUGUAGGCGGCUCGGUGAGUCUGCUGUGAAAGUCCAGGGCUCAACCCUGGGAUGCCGGUGGAUACUGUCGAGCUCGAGUCCGGAAGAGGCGAGUGGAAUUCCUGGUGUAGCGGUGAAAUGCGCAGAUAUCAGGAGGAACACCAAUGGCGAAGGCAGCUCGCUGGGACGUGACUGACGCUGAGACGCGAAAGCGUGGGGAGCAAACAGG